rnacentral:rRNA from 1 species
AACGAACGCUGGCGGCAGGCUUAACACAUGCAAGUCGAGCGCCCCGCAAGGGGAGCGGCAGACGGGUGAGUAACGCGUGGGAAUCAACCCAUCUCUGCGGAAUAGCUCCGGGAAACUGGAAUUAAUACCGCAUACGUCCUUCGGGAGAAAGAUUUAUCGGAGAUGGAUGAGCCCGCGUUGGAUUAGCUAGUUGGUGGGGUAAUGGCCUACCAAGGCGACGAUCCAUAGCUGGUCUGAGAGGAUGAUCAGCCACACUGGGACUGAGACACGGCCCAGACUCCUACGGGAGGCAGCAGUGGGGAAUAUUGGACAAUGGGCGAAAGCCUGAUCCAGCCAUGCCGCGUGAGUGAUGAAGGCCCUAGGGUUGUAAAGCUCUUUCACCGGUGAAGAUAAUGACGGUAACCGGAGAAGAAGCCCCGGCUAACUUCGUGCCAGCAGCCGCCGUAAUAC